AACGCACCUUGCGCUCCUUGGUAUUCCGAGGAGCAUGCCUGUUUGAGUGUCAUUAAAUUCUCAAUCUCUACAACUUUGUGUUGUCUAGAUUGGAAGUGGGGCUCUUUGUGUGGAAUCUAAUUCCUCACUGCCCUUAAAUGUAUUAGCUGGAAUGCCUCUGCAUAUCUGACUAUCAGUGUGAUAAUUAUCUAUACUGUAGUUGUUGCAUGAGGGUAUCUGCUUCAUCAAUCGUCGAAAGACAAUUCUAUAUGACCAUCUUGACCUCAAAUCAGGUAGGACUACCCGCUGAACUUAA
rnacentral:misc_RNA from 1 species